rnacentral:lncRNA from 1 species
UGAUGACCUUGAAAAGGAUAAACUUUACUCCCCAGAUAUUCAUGUUAACUUUAUGUUUCAUUAAUUUUAGGUAUUAACAUCGGAUGAUGUGGAACAAUUAAUUAUGAUGUGUUAAGCAUCAAUUUAUAUAUAUGUUAUUUUUUUUUAUUUAUUGCAUCAAAAGCAUGCAUGAACUAGCAAGUCAUUAAAUCCAUCUCUGUUAAUGCUAGCAUC